UGUAGCUUAGCUACAGUCAAUUGGUUGCCACUCGAUUUCACUCUAUUUACCACAAUACCAACCAAAUGGCGCUGGUUGGGAGGGUAAUUAUCAAAAGUUGGGAGGGUAAUUUUGGCUCUGAACAGAUUUGCAUUAUUUACGUUUCUACCAUUAUGUGUGGCUGUGCUUCAGACAGAACUCACAGAUUUGUGGAGGGAUUUCAGGGAGAGGCGUGGGAUGGCAGGGAGGGGAAGGGGGAGAUGAGUGAGGCUGCCAAAAAGUGGGGUUAGUAUUGAUUUUUUCUCCUCAAAUCAAGGGUGUCGCUGAUUGAGAGAUUGAGAGGGAUGGGGGAAAGAGACAGAAACACAGCCAUUUGGCCUUCAUUUUCCCCUUUUUCAAACCCUAGCAGCCAGAACCCCAAAACUGAGCUCACUUCUACAAUAACAUCGGCUCUUGCUUCCCAAAACCACACAAACCUUCCCUUCAUUUCUGUUACAGGUAGCUGAAAGAUAUUCUUGGGGAUGGAGAAGACGAUGGUGGCACGACGGUUGGGUCGUUUGUGCAGGUCACUGUUUUGGAGAUUUACCAUGAGGAGAUUUAUGAUUUGUUGUCGAGCAAUGGCGGCUGAGGAUUCGGGUUUGGAUGGCCAAAGAGCAAUGGCUCCAAUUCUAAGCUGCCAGUAGCAAUUUUCCCAAUACACAUGCCCUCGAUGCAGCUUACGCUACUGUUCCCUGCACCGCUACAAGGAAGAAUUGUUUAAAAAGCUCAUCAUCUAUAUGAUCGGGCAAAAGUGCACUUGGUGGUAAGGUGAUGGCAACUUUGGGCGUUGAUGAAGUAUCGAUCCAAGGCUCGAACGCCGUCGUCUUCCGAAGUCCUCAGUAAUAAAGUGAGUGGCACUUUUUCUCAAUGGAAGAUGAUAGUUCAAAUGUGUCAAUGGUUCUGGAAAUGUGAUUACAAGUUUCCGUAUAUUCAAUCCACCAACAACAUUUCUAUGCACACAACUCAGACACAUGGAUAUGUUCCAAUCUCUGCGACAAGCACUACUGUGAGGCCACUACCAUAUGCGAAUAUCUUCAUACAUGUCAGUUCCCUUUCUCACCCUCUUCAUGUUUUAUCCAAUAUUAUGUUUUUUAUCUGAUUUCAUGUGUUUUCUUGACGCUUUUGGUUGUCCAAGAUUUCUAAGUUUUUGUAUAAGAAUAUAAGAACAAAACUGCACAUCGAGGAGUUUAUGAUGAACUUUUUGGAGUGUCGGUAACACUUCUCUUUGGGAAUAUGUAAAUCUACUAAUCAUUGUUUGAUAA